rnacentral:rRNA from 1 species
CCUACGGGAUGCUGCAGUGGGGAAUAUUGCGCAAUGGGCGAAAGCCUGACGCAGCGACGCCGCGUGAGGGAUGAAGGUCUUCGGAUCGUAAACCUCUGUCAGCAGGGAAGCACGGUCACUGUGCUAAUCAGCAGUGAAUUGACGGUACCUGCAAAGGAAGCACCGGCUAACUCCGUGCCAGCCGCCGCGGUAAUACGGAGGGUGCGAGCGUUAAUCGGAAUUACUGGGCGUAAAGCGCUCGUAGGCGGUAUGUCAAGUCAAGGGUGAAAUCCCCGCGCGCAACGUGGGAACUGCCUUUGAAACUGGCAAACUGGAGUGUGUGAGAGGAUAGUGGAAUUCGAGGUGUAGGAGUGAAAUCCGUAGAUAUCUGGAGGAACAUCAGUGGCGAAGGCGACUAUCUGGCACAUAACUGACGCUGAGGAGCGAAAGCGUGGGUAGCAAACAGGAUUAGAUACCCGAGUAGUC